CAGACAGACAGACAGACAGACAGACAGACAGACAGGCAGACAGACAGACAGACAGACAGACAGACAGGCAGACAGACAGACAGACAGACAGACAGCUAGCCAGCAUCCCGAGGUCAGGAUCGAACCUGUGUCUCUCUGUCUGUCUCUGCGCUUCCCGUUCCCACCACUGGGGACACUAGGAAACACCCGAACGCCCCUCGGGGGAACAAUCGGCUAUUUCCGGACGUUCACCGGAAAUUGCCGAAGCGGCUCCGAGUCCUCGGGCCCCGCCCCCUCCCCUCCCUCUCUCUCUGCGCCGCUCCCAUCAUGGUGGCUGCUGGUGAGAUCAGCUCCCGCUCGCAAUCCGUCGCCAUCCGCCCCCCUACAGCUCUCUACCCGACAGCAGCCGCCGGGCCAGGGCAGCCACCACUCCUGUCGGAGUUUGUGCGGAGGCUGAAAUGCGAGAGGGACUGCGCCUCUCGACGGGUUCGCUGCCGCAGGAUGUCGGUAGGAUCCACGGACGGAGGCUGAGAUGCGAGAGGGACCGAACCUCCUGACGACGUCGCUGCCGCAGGAUGUCGGUAGGAUCCACGGGCAGAGGCUGAGAUGCGAGAGGGACCGAACCUCCUGACGACGUCGCUGCCGCAGGAUGUCGGUGCACUCCGCGGACGGAGGCUGAGAUGUGAGGGGUCGCGCCUCUCGACGACAUCGCUGCCGCAGGAGGUCGACGGAGGCUGAGAUGCGAGAGGGCCUGCGCUUCUCGACGACGUCGCUGCCGCAGGAGGUCGGUGCGCGAGGAGGCUGAGAUGCGAGAGGGCCUGCGUUUCUCGACGACGUCGCUGCCGCAGACACAAAAUGCUGCAGUAACUCAGCGGGACAGGCAGAGAGAAGGAACGGGUGAUGUUUCGGGUCGAGACCCUUCAAAUUUCGCAGGGCAGCAAGGAUAUCGAGAGGACCCACCGUUGUGUAUCUACAAUCAUCCCGUACGGGUGCAGCCAUUAUGGCCCAGGGAGGCGACUGGUACAUAGAACAUGAGAGGAAUGGAUCGGGUAGAUGCAACGGAGUCUCAAUGCAAUACAACCGGGUUUAUUCAUCACUUGCAUAUAAAGUGCAAGUGAAGUGAAUUUGCCAGCAGCGGUACAAUGAAAAAGAACACACAAAAACACAAGCAAAAUUGAACACAAAUAUCCACCACAGCAUUCAUCACUGGCGGAAGGCACAAAAUUUGGCCAGUCCUCCGUUUUCCCCCGUGAUCUCCACCCAGAGUUGGGGAAUCGAGGACAUGGGUUCAAGGUGAAAGGGAAAGGAUUUAAUAGGAAUCGGACGGGUGACUUUUUCACAAAGGGUGGUGGUGGGUGUAUGGAACGAGCUGCCGGAAGAGGUAGUUGAGGCUGGGACUAUCUCAUCGUUUAAGAAGCAGUUGAGACAAGUACAUGGAUAGGACAGGUUUGGAGGGAUAUGGACCAAGCAGGCAAUUACUGCAGCAUUUUGAGUCUAUUCCUAGUAAAUUUCCAGCUAUAGGCUGUGGGCCGAGCAUUAAAAAUGUGUCUAGAAAUAUCACGUCGCAGAACUACAUGAAAUUUUCCACAGAUUUAGAUGAAAUAUAAUUGAGAAGGAUGUCAUAACUCGUCAGUGCCAAAAGUUGCACAUUAAUUAAUUCAACUAAUUAGAAAAUGAGAUCGGGAGAGUAAGCGCCAUUUAGUGCUAUUUCCGUGUUGCCGUCCAUUUAAACUAUAUUAUUAUACCUAUAUAUAUAUAUAUCUUGUAAAUAUGGCUGUAAUCAUAUAUAAUUAAGUAUUAUAAUAUAUAAAAAUAAUAUGAAUAUAAUUGUG